GAACUGCUGUUUGAGCAUUCCCUGAGAUUGUGUGUAGCCUCCGUGUAAAUGUAAUAGCCUCCAUGGCUUAACUGGCUAUCAAGUGAAUUUUCCCAGAUGAAAGCAAUGUUGGGUUAGGGGACGACGGUGCAGCCACCCAGCCUUUACCAGCAGCGUGCUGCAGACGAAGGCAGUCAAGGUGUGGAGGUGAUCACACAGGUGCAGCUCAGUUGCCAUGAUGCUCCUUGAGUCAAUGAGCUCUUUGGUCUGCUCUUCUGCUCGAGCAGAAAAUGAUCUGUGCUUCACCCUUGAGAAGCUGACAAGAACCACAGGCUUUUUCAGGCAGGUGGUGGAACAUGGGUAUAUCCUUCAGGUGCUCACAGUAUCUCCCUUUGCUCAGGCUCUAGCCUGAUUUUCUGGUUCAUAAGGCCAAAGGGAGCUGGAAAGAUCCCUGCGGCAGGACUCAUGGUGGAGAGAGAAUGGUCUAGAGGAUUCAGGCCUCUGCACACUGUGUCUGGGUCCCUCCUUAAAGAAUGAUAAAGAUGAGUAAAGAGCUUGAAGCAGCCUGGAGUCCAGCCAGAAACCUUUAACUGAGCUUUAAAGGAGAUGGUCACAACACUUUUCAGAAUACUGGCAAAGGCCUCCUGUGGCCCGGUUUGUCCUGGGAUGAGCAAAAUUUAAUAAAGUUAACCUGCUGUAUCUUUGCUUUUAAUAUAUCUGCUUGCCCAUCACAAUGACGUUAUGGUUAAUUUCACCAAUUUGGUAACCUG
rnacentral:lncRNA from 1 species